GAUGAACGCUGGCGGCGUGCCUAAUACAUGCAAGUCGAGCGAACAGAUGAGGAGCUUGCUCCUCUGACGUUAGCGGCGGACGGGUGAGUAACACGUGGAUAACCUACCUAUAAGACUGGGAUAACUUCGGGAAACCGGAGCUAAUACCGGAUAAUAUAUUGAACCGCAUGGUUCAAUAGUGAAAGACGGUUUUGCUGUCACUUAUAGAUGGCUCCGCGCCGCAUUAGCUAGUUGGUAAGGUAACGGCUUACCAAGGCAACGAUGCGUAGCCGACCUGAGAGGGUGAUCGGCCACACUGGAACUGAGACACGGUCCAGACUCCUACGGGAGGCAGCAGUAGGGAAUCUUCCGCGAUGGGCGAAAGCCUGACGGAGCAACGCCGCGUGAGUGAUGAAGGUCUUCGGAUCGUAAAACGCUGUUAUUAGGGAAGAACAAAUGUGUAAGUAACUAUGCACGUCUUGACGGUACCUAAUCAAAAAGCCACGGCUAACUACGUG
rnacentral:rRNA from 1 species